GAGUUUACAGUAAAAUAAAUAUUUAAGUGGAGCCUGCGACUCCAGUCCCUCUGACUGACUGGGGUAAGUCUCUCGAGCGUUUGUUGGCACGUAAAAGAC
rnacentral:pre_miRNA from 14 species